AUGGUAAAGUCGUCCCAUGUUCUUUUUUGGUUGGACCAACCCAACCGGCGAUUUACGUCUUCCUGAAUUGGGAGAGCAAGAACAAGUCUCUCUUCAUUCUUUGACUGCUCUGCUCUGCGCGCUAUACUUUUGCUUUUUACCCGAUCCUGGGAUAUCGCUUUGCUUUCGGAAACCUUACCAGACCACCACCAGACUUCGUUGCUUGUGUGCUUGGACAUACAUAGCCGAACAGAGCCUACAGAAGUAAACCUUUCUAAAUGCACACGCUUUACUGUGCGGACGGAAAGCCCUUGAUGAAUGCCAUGGCUAGAAUAAGACAGCUUCGAAGACGAAUAAUGCUAUGGCAAACCCUACUUAUCUUUUAUCUGUCUUCCACCCCUACUUUAAAGAAAGAAUGGGGUGGAACCCUCAAACUAAGUGACCUCUUUUUGGUACCUCAACUCAAAAUUGAUCGUGUACUUCUUGUGUUUACAGCAAGAUCUCUAUCUAAGUGUUGACAUCAAAUUCCUUACGGCAGAGCCAGCUCUUGAUUUAUAUGAAUUUCUGGGCGGUUUCCUCAGCUAAUUAAGAGGCCCUUCUUUCGAUUGACUCAGCUACAGAUGUUGGCUACUCACAGACAUUCUCAUAUCAUACAGAAUCUACUGGAAAGCUAAAUCUUGGAUGUGCGGUAUUUUGUUGAAUAUUCAUAAGUAGCUGGGUACCUGUUCUUGAGUCAUAUCUGCUGUCUCGACUAUACACACUAUUUCCUAUAAAAAAAAUAUUACAAUGAAGUCCAAAGAGCAAAACCCUAUACUAAAUAAAAAUGUAGUCGUUGAAGCCUUUCUGCAACAUCUUCUGUCUAUGGAUUCUUUCCACGCUACGAGUCCGCUGUCAAUCUUGCUUUCGGCCUCACUCAAGGGAAGGCCCUAUUAUUGGAGAUCUUCCUUGACGGGUGGAAGGGUCUUUUUUUCUAUGUGUUUCGCCCAUUCGAGUGCUCUUUGACAAUGGCAUCAUAGGCACCAGGCCCCGGUCCGUCUGUGCAGCUUCGAAUGAUCGGGUUUCAACGGCUUCCCUAGCUGUGCGGAUCUAUCUGGCAGUUCACUACGCGCCGAAUGAUUCUUUGCUAUUUACUCUCUCUGUCUGUUAGCGUGACCCUACUUCUAGCCUGCUUUGUCUUUAAAGGUAACGAGACGAGCUCUCCUCUUCUCGUCUGGGCCUUAACUUAAAAUCAAGCGUAACUGCCGCUUCUUACGAGU
rnacentral:lncRNA from 1 species